UGGCUCAAUUGGUAGAGCAUGGCAUUAACACUGCCAGGCUUAGGGGUUCGAUUCCCUGU
rnacentral:tRNA from 1 species